rnacentral:rRNA from 1 species
UACGUAGGGUGCAAGCGUUGUCCGGAAUUAUUGGGCGUAAAGGGCUCGUAGGCGGUCCAUCGCGUCGGGAGUGAAAAGCUGGGGCUUAACCCCAGUCCUGCUUCCGAUACGGGUGGACUAGAGGUAGGUAGGGGAGAACGGAAUUCCUGGUGUAGCGGUGAAAUGCGUAGAUAUUGGGAGGAACACCGGUGGCGAAGGCGGCCCCCUGGACCGGUACUGACGCUGAGGCGCGAAAGCGUGGGUAGCAAACGGG